UUUGUGUUUUUUUGUUUGUUUGUUUUUUGUGUUUGAGUGUUUUACUGCUACCAUCAAAGUCUCUGUAACUAUCAUGUAACAGUGAUUCCUUUCCACACAGGGGGUGUGCUGCAGGAAAGAAGAAAUUUUACAGCUGCCUAUUGCUCGUGGAAGUAUUAUGUAGAUGUCUCCAAACAUAAAGACAAUUCUGCAAAGCACUGUCAUGCAACUUUUCCAUUGCCUCUGAGAAAAGCACCUUUGUUAUAUUGGAUUAUAUUUCUACAUUUGGUUAUAUUUCUACACAAUUUUGUGACAGUCAUAGCAGAUAAACAUUAUCAGAGGCAUAGUGGACAAAGCUGUCAUCCUUAAAGUGAUGCUGAAGCCAUCCUAGAGGCAACUUGUACAUAAAAUAAAUAGGAAAAAAAAAAAUCAGUACAUAGAAUUGCCUUAGGAGCCUACAUACUAUACUCUCAGAAGUGAAUUAGGUACCUAGAUGGCAGAGUUCUGUUGAUCUAGGAGAUUUAGGCUGCAGGGUUAAAAAUGUCACCAGUAAAACUGAUAUUCAAUAUUUUUAGAAGGGAUUUGUUACUUUACAGAAAUACAAAUCCAUUGUAUUAGAAUACAAAAUAAAAUUAGAAUAAAAUAAAAUAUCAGCCAAAUGGAAGGGGACUUGCUUUGUUGCUCCCCUGAUUUCAAUAAAAAAAUAAAGAAGUCUCACAACAGUCCAACUAUAAUGUUGUGAAAUCAGUACUGAGGUAGUUGUGUAAAUGUUUUAAGUACAAAUGAGCAAACAAACCAAACAAACACAGCAACCCUGCGCCAGACAAGGAUCCCUAAAUAGCAAAGCCAUGUAUUUAUCUGGAAGACAGCCUGAGAAGCAAAGCAAGCCUGCCCACAGACUUGUUUCAGCUCAGUCCAAGAGGCUUUGGUUUCCAUGUACAUUGGAUUCUUGACCUCUGCGGUUUCAGCACCAAAAGCAGAAGGCAUGACUAGACUGUGGUUAGAAAGGAGAAGGCACUGAAGAGAAGGAUGAGGGCAGGUAUGAGGAACAAUGGUGUUUUUUCCUUCUGAUUCUGCACAAACCUUUACUUCUGUGAUGGAGCAGAAAGAUCUCUGCCUGGAUUUUCUUCUAUACCCAGAGCAGCUUCUUUUUUUAAUGGUGUUGUUUUGGGGUUUUUUUGUUUGUUUGUUUUUUGGGUUUUUUUUUUAAUGUUGUUGCUUUAAUUAGUACUUUUUCCUCAAGUAGCUUCCCCCAGGAGACAGGUACUUUCUGGACUCGGGGCAUGUUAUCCAACCCAAGUUAGUACUUCACUGACACUGCCCAAAUACUCUUAUUCAUGGGACACAAAACAAAGGGGGUAACUGAGCUGCCUUACACUUGUGACAAAUACUCUUUUUGUUCUCUGCUCUGCAUAUAAGGAACUACUCAACGAAUAAAUUACUCCCAAAGGGUGAUUUAUACACCAGGAGGAUUAUUGCACAGUCUCCAUUCUUGUUCAUGGAGAAAAGUGGUGCAGGAACGUAAGUGACUCUGUUUUGUAGCACCUGGGACAGAGAGGGUUUCUUCCUCUCAGAGAGAUCCCUAACAUCUUCCUCUUUCCUUUUUCUUUACAGGAAGUGUAGUUUUCAGGAAUUAAGUCAGCCACCAUAAAGACUAAUUUGCUGCCCUGAAAAGCCCAAGCUCUGAUUCUGUCUGCUCUGCAUGUUGUCACAGUAAAAACCAGAGGGCUGCUGGGUGGUUUUCACUUUGUAUUUAGUAGUGCUGUUUCCCAAAGCUGUAUGCAGAACUCCCAAACAGAUAUAGAAGGAACUAAAGAGGAGCAUGCAAGAUGACCUGUUUAUGAGAUGGAAGACUCCUUCUCAGCCCACAGCUUUGCAUGGCACAGCACUCACUCUACAGUACCUGUCCUGUCAGGCACAGAACACAGCGGCUCAAAUAACAGAGAAGAAACCACAAAAUUCCAGGAUCACUUUAGUCCUUCUGCUGUCCCAGACAUCGAAGAGUGGGAUGUUUCAGUUGCAGGGCAGCCUAAAAGCAGUGUCUAGGGAGAAAACUACAGAACUGCUCUUCAAAGUCUAUCCAGAGAUGACCUGGGGUAAAGGCCUUCCUUUUGUGCAGCAUCUGGUCAGACCUCUGCACACAGAAGCAACUCUUUAAAGGUCUUCAGGAAAGACUGCACUUGGACCUUGCCCUUUGGGGUCCUGUGGAGGGAGCACAAGGCUGCUUGGCCAAGAGAAUAGACCAGAAGAUGCAGCUGAGCAGAAUGAACAGCCUGGUAUGUGUUUACCAAAAAUUAUUUGUUUAGUUUCACAAAUCUUCAGAGACAUAUCCUCCAAACCACACUUGCAGCUUCUGGCUGCCUUUGGGCUGUCAAAAUGCCCAACCAUCCUUGUGAACCCUGCUAGUAAUCUCCACAGACAAAUGGCACAAUGUGUUUGAGGAAAGCAGCCAGUAUGAGAGUUCUAGGCUCAUUUUCCUUGAACACGAGUUUUCAGUCACACCAUCCUCUAGGGAAGGCUGAUGACUUAUGGAUGCUUUUCCCAAUCCAGCUAAAUUACUUAGUCCUAUCACCAUUAUUCUUCUAAUUGAGCAUUUGCUCUUCUGUUUGACUGGAACCAGCAGAAGUGAGAGCUGCUCACCACAUGGCUGAGAGGACCCACUAAGGUUUUCAGUACUGUAGGAAUGAAGAGCUUUAAGCAUUUACUUGCAUCUCAUAAUGGAAAACCUCCUUCCCGUUAUGCAUCUCUAGAGUGAGUGAAAAUUUAACUCAGCAGCCUCAUAUACAGAAAACGCUCAGUGAAACUGCUUCUGAGCAAAUCUUGCUGGGUUGGUCCUGAAAUUAGAAGGGUCCAUGUUGAGCAAAGAUAAAACUUGAGGCAGGGCAGAAAGACUAAUCACUUGGGAUUCUCCUUGUCUGUGCCUCAUGCCAAACCUGGGUCCUGCUGUUAGCAUUUUGCAUCUAACUGUUGUUCAGCUGAAUUUCUCACAUCACUGCUCCACCUGUUUAUUUGAUACAAUGUCAUUAAUGAAGUGCUUAGGUCAGAGGCUAAGCUGGAGGAAUGAUUUAGGCACAGGUCAGCAGGACUGAUGCAGACACUGCAAAUCUGCAGGGGAAGAUGACAACCUGGUUUUCACAAUUUUAACCAUGAAAAUCACAUCACAUGGGGUAAAAAUCCUUAGAGAGGAUCACAAAAUCAUGGCGCAAAGGAAGGGAAAAUAUUCUUCCUAUGAAGACUACUUCUCCCAAACUGCCCCCACUGAAAUACAUGGCAACCAGUAAAGUACAAGAGGGGAAAAAAAAAAAAAUUUCUCCAGUGUAUCAUAGGAAAUAUUAAUUAAUUGGAGCUCAUAAUUACUCUGAAAGCUUUUGCCUUAUUUUACAACUGGGAAGAAUAAGGCACAAAGCGGCUAAAUGAUUUGUCUAAUCUCACACCGUGAGUCAACAGCUGAGUCAGAAGGAAGAGCAGGGCCACUCUUCAUCAGAGCAGUGUUUGGGAGUUCCUUUGAUACUGUACUGAACCUCCCAAAAUGUCCAGCUUCUUCAAAACAAGUUGCAAAGAAAGUAGACAGAGGUCAGACAGUUUGAUCUGUGGUUGUCUAUUCCCGAAGUUGUCCUGGGUAGAAACUGUAGUGGUCUGUGCCCCAGUUAGUUUUGCAUUUUUAAAUCCUUUCUGCGUAAGUCUGUCCCAAUGAAACCCAGAAGGUUGAACAUGUGGAGUUGUGUCCUUAUUAAUUCCCUCUUCCACCUAGAAUAAGGCUGUUUAAAAAGUGGAAAUAGACAUUGGAUUGGAUUUUGUUGCUGCCUAAACUGAACCUCAAGUCACCACCUUCCGAGGAAUAAUCCCCAGUAAAUGUUACGCAGAAUGAACAGCAAUAAAAACUACAAACCUGAAAGGAUGGGGAAAGACUUGGAAGGAAAUAAAACAAGGACCUGCAAAGCCAAACAGCAUUACAAACUGGUACAUUUUAAAGGAACAACAAGAAAACAGAAGCUACACUGAUCAAAGCCUCCCCUCCUCUCUGUGGUGGAUGACACUUUCGCUGGGGGCACACCACCACCUCUAACCCCACACCUGCAAAAGGAAUUAAUUUCAAAAAGAAUACAGACCAAAGAGAACCAUAUCAAAACAAAUUAGCAACAGACCCUUCAUCCUGCUGUUGUCAGGCAGGACAGGCAGAGAUGCUCACAGUUGCUAAGAUUCAGGGGGAAAAAAGACAAAACAAAACCAACUCCUCCCCCACCCAAAAAAAAAACAAAAAAAAAAAAAAAAAAAAAAACCCAGCUGUUAAAAACUUUAGAAGAAACAAGUCCAAAGACCUUGAAAGAAAAGAGAUUUCAAACAGCUUGGACAACUGGCAGGGGGCUAAGAAAUUCCUUUUCAAAAAACACCUGUGCUUUCUCUGACUUUGGUUAUCUCUAUACAGCCUAGGUAGAUUUUUCACUAAGAGAGACAGCAAGUACAGCCCUACAAAUAUGUAGUGCAAAGAGAACACAUUGUAUUUAUGUACAGAUACACACAAUUGCAACAAAAACAUCAAGCUAUGUUUUGCAACUGUAGAUAUGACCUGCCUGACAAUUUGUUUUUCCAACUAAUAGCUUGUCAAAGGAAAACUAUCAAUACAAAGCUCAUUUGUCUUUAACAUUUGCAUGCUAUUAAAAACAUAACAGAUCACUAAAAUCAAAAUGAUUUUACACUUGAUCCUUCCAGGUCUCUUUAUGUUUCAUCUCCUUUUAGCAGCAAGAUGAAACCUAAUCAGCAGCUGCAGAAACUGGGGGGAGUUUAAGGUACUGUAGGGAAUGUUGCAAGCCAACACAUGCUCCUUCAGUAAAUACUGCACUCACAGAAGAAUUUGUUUAAUAUUUGUACCCCAUCCAUGAUCCCAUAUGAGGGGUCAACCACUUGAGAGAACAUCUAUUGGGAAUGGCUAGGAGUUGCAGCCAUGCCUUUUUUCAAUUGCUGACCCUUUAGGUCAUGCCAGAGAGACUCAGGUUCAGUUCCUGACUUGACAACAAAUGUUCUCUGUGAAUUUGAGUGAGCCACUCCUUAUCUAACCUUCUGUACAUGGCCACUAACAUGUUUGUGAAGUUACCACAAAAUAUUGCCAAAUAUCAAUUCUAGUGAUCUGCACAGAAGCGCACGAAUACAGAAAGCAAAGGGUCACCCCUUUGUCUCAACUCUCACGAAACUGGAGACAAGACAACCUUUCACCUAUGGAGGAUUUAUUCUAUGCAAACUGGGCACACAUCAGACAUGUUUAUGAAAGUGCAUGGCAACACCACCAUUUGCAACCCUUUAAGUUUAGGAACUACUCUUGAUGUUAUAUAUUUCUAUCUAUAUCUAUAUCCACUCAAAUUGUCCCUACCUAUGUUUAUUACUAUUUGCUGCUGAAUACAGAAUAGAAGCAGAAGAGUGCUGAAGAAGUAUUCAGCCCCCCCUUGGUGGACAGACUUCAGAUCCUAUUCCUGAUUCACACUAGCAGAAAUGAAAUCACCAUCAGGACCAGUAUUGGGGCCAAAUUGCUGGUAGGCAAAAUGAACCACUAAUUGCUGGAUUCAUUAGUAAGACUCAUAGUUUGUCCCUAUGAGAUGCUGAAUACUUUCAGCUCCUUUUAAAACCUUGCAUCUUAGAAAUUAAAAUUAACAACAGCAAACUAGUAUUUUUGUUACACUGUAGAAACUCAGCAGGAAUUUGAAGUCAGAUCACAGGAAAGCUAAAAUUCUAUUAUGCAAAAUUAGGCAGAUUUUUAUCUACCCCUUCCCUGUUAAUUCUGGAGAACACGCAUGCAACCACACACAAUAGGUACUCCAUGCUGUUCGUCAAGCUUAAACAAUUGGUUAAAAUAGUUUUUGUAAUGCUGACAACUGCUUCACAAAAUACCUUUAAAAUCCCCCAGUACCACACUAUUAAGACCAACCUAUUAUUUUCAGGCAUAAAACAAAUGCCUAUUUAAGAACACAUCCAAAUGUGUUUCUGUCAUUCAGCCAGAGCACUUUCACCUCCCAGAAGCUGACACUGUAAGAGAUGGAAAGAGAAACAGAGAGAGAGAAGAGACCUCCAGUCCACCUGCUGGCCUCACUGAAGGCAGUGAAUUCAGCUCAAGCUCAUGUCAAGUAGGUUCAACUGUGUCAAAGGUUACCCACAAGCUAUUUCGUAAUGAUUUAUAGCUGAUGUCUACAGAUCUCCUUUUAUUUCAGUGAUGACUUCAAUACAGAUGUAAAGACAUUCUUUGUCUUCAGAGAAGUGUAUGAGAGGGAGUUGACAUCUUUAAAAAAAGAAUUCUAAGAGACUGAUUCGCUUUUUCUGAACAGGGCCAGCCAUGGGCAGUUUUCAUAUCUUAGCCAAAAAAAAAAAAAAAAAAAAGGGAAAAAAAAAACCCCUUUGCCUUUUUCUCCUAUGCUAAAGCUGCUAUGUUACUGUGACUUAUUCUGGGCAUAAAUCCUAAAGCACUGACUCAAUGUGUAUGUCACCAGUUAAUUAUCACCAAGACAAGACACUGGGGCACUUGGUAAGCAUUAGAUAAUUUUAUCUCGUCACCAGUAAUAACAUGUAUUUAUACAGCAUUAUUUUGCUCUGCUUGAGCCCAAAGGGAUUUACAAAGUGAGUCCCAAAAGAUACCACCAUGGGAAUCCUUCCAGCCAGCACUGAGCCACCAUCGUUUGGGGGUGAGGAACAGCGGCACAGGAAAGGCAGUAGCAGGACAUACCACAUCAAUUUGGGAUUGCUGAUGUCACCCCGCUGAAACUGCUGAGAGCUGACCAAAUGUGAGACUUUUUUUAACCUCAGCUUUAGUGUGUGUGUGAGUGUGCACAAGGUCUGUGUGUAUGUAUGCGCUGAAUUUUCCUGACCCCAAGUUUGGUCUGUGCCUUUACAGAAAAUGUUGAAGGCAGACUAUUCACUUAUUCAUAACAAAUAAUAAGCAAAUAGAGAUAAAUUAAUUAAUUUCAAUUAAUUAAUUGCAGAUUCUAUUUUCUGUAGACAUUUGAAAUUAGGAGGAGAGUACCCA